rnacentral:rRNA from 1 species
GGUCAAAGUACAAAGGGCGCGUGGUGGAUGCCUUGGCGUCAAGAGCCGAUGAAGGGCGUGGCAAGACUGCGAAAAGCCUCGGUCAGCUGUCUAGCAAGCUUAGCCGGGGAUUCCCGAAUGGGGCAACCCACUCCGUGGUAACGCGGAGUUCUCGCUGCAAAGCGAGAGGGAACUGGGGGAAGUGAAACAUCUCAGUACCCUGAGGAAGAGAAAUCAAACGAGAUUCUCCUAGUAGUGGCGAACGAACGGGGAUGAGCCUAAACCGACGGACUUAGUGGCCCGGUAGCCUAUGUCCGAUCGGGGUUGUAAGUCGCGAGAUGAGAGAUGCCGGUUUCUCGAUAGAGUGACAAAUCUGAUCCUUAGCUGAAGGUCUCUGGAAAGAGCCACCAUAGAGGGUGAUAGUCCCGUAGGCGAAAAGGAAAAGACUCUACACGUGUACUUGAGUACCACGGGACACGUGGAAUCCUGUGGGAAGCUGGGGGGACCACCCUCCAAGGCUAAACACUCUUGACGACCGAUAGUGAACAAGUACCGUGAGGGAAAGGCGAAAAGAACCCCGGGAGGGGAGUGAAAUAGAACCUGAAACCACGUGCCUACAAGCAGUCGAAGUCUGUCGCAAGACGGAUGACGGCGUGCCUAUUGAAGAAUUAGCCGGCGAGUUAAUCUUUGUGGCUGGUUAAGUCAUUAAGUGACGGAGCCAAA